CCGAGCAACGCCGCGUGAGUGAAGAAGGUUUUCGGAUCGUAAAGCUCUGUUGUAAGUCAAGAACGGGUGUGAGAGUGGAAAGUUCACACUGUGACGGUAGCUUACCAGAAAGGGACGGCUAACUACGUGCCAGCAGCCGCGGUAAUACGUAGGUCCCAAGCGUUGUCCGGAUUUAUUGGGCGUAAAGCGAGCGCAGGCGGUUUGAUAAGUCUGAAGUUAAAGGCUGUGGCUCAACCAUAGUUCGCUUUGGAAACUGUCAAACUUGAGUGCAGAAGGGGAGAGUGGAAUUCCAUGUGUAGCGGUGAAAUGCGUAGAUAUAUGGAGGAACACCGGUGGCGAAAGCGGCUCUCUGGUCUGUAACUGACGCUGAGGCUCGAAAGCGUGGGGAGCGAACAGGAUUAGAUACCCUGGUAGUCCACGCCGUAAACGAUGAGUGCUAGGUGUUGGAUCCUUUCCGGGAUUCAGUGCCGCAGCUAACGCAUUAAGCACUCCGCCUGGGGAGUACGACCGCAAGGUUGAAACUCAAAGGAAUUGACGGGGGCCCGCACAAGCGGUGGAGCAUGUGGUUUAAUUCGAAGCAACGCGAAGAACCUUACCAGGUCUUGACAUCCCGAUGCUAUUUCUAGAGAUAGAAAGUUACUUCGGUACAUCGGUGACAGGUGGUGCAUGGUUGUCGUCACCUCCUGUCCUGAGAUGUUGGGUUAAAU
rnacentral:rRNA from 1 species